rnacentral:rRNA from 1 species
UACGUAGGUGGCAAGCGUUGUCCGGAUUUACUGGGCGUAAAGGGCGUGCAGGCGGUCUGUUAAGUCUAGGGUGAAAGCUCCCGGCUCAACUGGGAGAGGUCCUUGGAUACUGGCGGACUUGAGGGAGGCAGAGGAAAGCGGAAUUCCCGGUGUAGUGGUGAUAUGCGUAGAUAUCGGGAGGAACACCAGUGGCGAAGGCGGCUUUCUGGGCCUUACCUGACGCUGAGACGCGAAAGCGUGGGGAGCGAACCGG